rnacentral:rRNA from 1 species
CCUACGGGAGGCAGCAGUGGGGAAUAUUGCACAAUGGGCGAAAGCCUGAUGCAGCAACGCCGCGUGAAGGAAGACGGUUUUCGGAUUUUAAACUUCUAUCAAUAGGGGAGAAAAAAAUGACGGGACCUAAAUAAGAAGCGCCGGCUAACUACGUGCCAGCAGCCGCGGUAAUACGUAGGGGGCCAGCGUUAACCGGAAUUACUGGGUGUAAAGGGAGAGUAGGUGGCAAGGUAAGCUAUAUGGGAAAUCCGUAAGCUUAACUUAAGGAUUGCAUAAAGAACUAUCUAGCUAGAGUACAGGAGAGGAAAGCGGAAUUCCUAGUGUAGCGGUGAAAUGCGUAGAUAUUACGAAGAACACCAGUUGCGAAGGCGGCUUUCUGGACUGAAACUGACGCUGAGGCUCGAAAGCGUGGGGAGCGAACAGGAUUAGAUACCCGUGUAGUC